AUGGACAUGUCACUAUUGAGAAGCGUGAUAUUGCUACAUAAAUCCGGUGACCACGAGGGUGCGCUUGGCUCCAUCAACGAGCUCGUUAAGGCGGUCUACAAUAGAAGUGGGAAUGUGAUUCACAGUGAUUUGGCUGCACUUCUCCUCGGCACACAACUUCAGCUCUUAGCAGCCCAGAGUGCUGACGAGCAAGCUAGGAAAUAUCAUCUUCAACGCGCUGAAGAUUAUCUUUGCUACGCCAAGGAUAUAGGCUCCAAUUGCACUGCAGCACAUGGAAUGCGCGCUGCUGUGCAUUUGGAGAACUACAGAAUGGAACAAGCAGAAGCCGUAAUUUCCGAUGCAUUAAGGCUUUCUUACCCAGAUGAUCCAAAUGAUCUUCGUGUCGACCUCACUGAUAGUUCUCACAUAUACAUUGGUGAUGUUUCUGAUCUGAAAAUCACUGAGUCUGUUAUAACAGUUCAACCAAUAGACAAUGAAGCCAAACGGGUGAUGGUUGCAAGGCACAAGAUCCGGGAAUUCUGCAAUGAACAUGUUCGCCGUAUUCAUAUUGCAGGAGCACGAAGUAUAUUGAUCACUAACUAUGACUGUAAGAUUUUAAGGAUGAAAAAACAAAGUUUGUACUGUUACAUUGGCGAGGUUAAGUUGUGUGGACUUUCUCAGUUCCGUGGUAGAAAGGCUACCAUUUUCUGUCUUGGAGAUAAUGUAGCACAAUAUCUACAUGAUUGUCUAGUAUCCAUCAGUCAUCCUCAUAUUCUCAGCAGUUUAGGCCAUGGCCGAGGACUUGGAAGCUACUCAAUGAAUACAUUUCUGGCAGUCCCUUUUUUCAGUGCUACAUUUCGCACCUAUCUACAAAGCAUAGAGUUGUCUGUUUAUAUGGACAGAUACACAGAUGAGUUUAUCAUCUUGGUCAGCCAUAUUGUAAAAGCUAUAUUGGGACUGCACAGCCUUGGCUACUGUUGCAAAGAUAUGGAGGCAGAUCAUAUAGUUGUAGUAGAAGAAAAUAAGUCCAUAUCCGCCAAAAUUUGGCAUUUCAAGAAAUGUUCAUCUGAUGAAGAGAAAACAGGCGACUGGAAACUCCUUGGUGAACUGCUCAAUACAAGCAAGCUUAAGAGUGACGAGAAUUCGGACCUUUGUGCUAAGCUCUGUAAAGCAGAACUAAGGGGACUGGAUAUAUUGGCACACAGUGCUCUGUUGACAGCGAGGAAGAAACUUCAAAAUGUCCUCACGUUGUUCAAGUACCAGGAAACUGACUGGAAAACUGCAAACUCACCAGGGGCACCGAAUUGGCUUGAUGACAAAUUUGACUUUAGUCCAAAAAUGCCAUUGUGCAUUCAUCAGUCCCAGUCUUUUAAAAGCUGCCCAAUUCAAACUUUCAGAACAUUCACCGAAAAGCUUAGAGAUGUAAUUGAGCAUGAAGUGGACUAUCUGCCGCUCAGUAUGGUCGACUACAUCACUUUUAAAGACAGGGAGCAAGGUCGAAAGGAGGAAGAUUUCGAGUAUUCUUUAAGGCAUGCUUGGCCUAAGGAGUUUCUGAAAAUACAAAACUUCGUUAGAGAGAAAAAACUCACCUACUAA
rnacentral:rRNA from 1 species